UGACUCUUUUGUUAAGGCCUAAUGCAGUUGGUGAUGUUAACUUAAAAAAUAUAUUUCAUAAAGCUAUAGCUUCUCUAGCAAGUGAUUCCUUUGAUGGAUCUGGGCAAAAUAAUUGAAAACCUACUGGAAAGGAUUCACCAUUCUAGACGCCAUUGAGAACAUUCAUGAUUUAAAAAAGAAGAUCAAAAUAGCAACAUUAGGAGAAGUUGGGGCUGGGCUUGGUGGCUCACGCCUGUAAUCCCAGCACUUUGGGAGGCCAAGGCACGUGGAUCAUGAGGUCAGGAAUUUGAGACCAGCCUGGCCAACAUAGUGAAAUCCUGUCUAUACUAUAAACAACAAAAAAAUUAGCUGGGCCUGGUCGGGGGUGACUGUAAUCCCAAACACUUGGGAGGCUGAGGCAGGAGAAUUGCUUGAACACGGGAGGUGGAGGUUGCAGUGAGCUGAGAUCGCAUCACUGCACUCCAGCCCAGGCAAGACUUCAUCUCAAAAAAAUAAAAGAGAGAGAGAAAAGUUGGGAAGAUUAUUCCAACCCUCACUGAUGACACAGGGGUUCACCACUUCUGUGGAGGAAGUAACUGCAGAUAUGGUGGAAAUAACAAGAGCACUAGAAUCAGAGACAGAGCCUGAAGAUCUGGCGAGACUGCAGCAUCCUCUGGAGAAAACGUGAGAGGAUGAGUUGCUCCCACGGAUGAGCAAAGAAAGUGGUUUCUUGAGAUGAAAUCUACUAGUGGUGAAGACAGUGUAAACAAUGUUGAGAUGACAACAGAUUUAGAAUAAACUUGGUACAGCAGAAGGAAGGCUUGACAGGAUUGAACCCAAUGAUUUACAAUAAUACAUAAACUUAGUUGGUACUGCAGUACGAAGGUUUGACAGCAUUGAAUCCAAUUUUGAAAGUUCUACUGUGGGUAAAAAGCUAUCAUCGUAUGCUACAGAUAAUUCUUUUGUGAAAGGGAGAGUCAAUUGACACAGCAAACUUCAAUGUUGUCUUUUUUUAAGAAAUUGCGACAGCCACCCCAGCGCUCAGCAACCACCACCUUACAUUAAG
rnacentral:lncRNA from 1 species